CCCUUAGAUGUUCUGGGCCGCACGCGCGCUACACUGACGAAUGCAACGAGCUUAUAACCUUGGCCGAAAGGUCUGGGUAAUCUCCAAAUUUCGUCGUGAUGGGGAUAGAUUAUUGCAAUUAUUAAUCUUCAACGAGGAAUGCCUAGUAAGCGCAAGUCAUCAGCUUGCGUUGAUUACGUCCCUGCCCUUUGUACACACCGCCCGUCGCUCCUACCGAUUGAAUGGUCCGGUGAAGCGUUCGUACCGUGGCCUUUGGACGGUUCGCCGUCUGUUGGCUGCGGGAAGUUCGUUAAACCUUAUCAUUUAGAGGAAGGAGAANUCGUANCA
rnacentral:rRNA from 1 species